rnacentral:misc_RNA from 1 species
UACGUGAGCCCCAAGCGUUAGCCGGAAUAACUGGGCGUAAAGCGUCCGCAGGCGGGAUGAUAAGUCUGCUGUUAAACCCUAGGGCUCAACCCUAGGUCUGCGGUGGAUACUAUCAUUCUUGAGGGAUGGAGAGGUAGAUGGAACUCCUGGUGGAGCGGUGAAAUGCGUUGAUAUCAGGGGGAACACCAAUUGCGAAGGCAAUCUACUGGCCAUUUCCUGACGCUCAGGGACGACAGCUAGGGGAGUGAAGCGG